CUGCAAUGAAAACUCAACAGCACAACACUGUCCUAUAUUUUCUCAUGGAUAUGUAAUAGUUACAAAGUAUUUUUUUUUCUUUUUUUCCCUAGUACUAGAUCACUGAAGAAGAGGAAGCAUUCAUGUUUACCCAUACUAAGCAGAAACAGGAUCAUCUGAAUUCACCAGCUGCAGGUGGCUUGAGAGAGUCUUUUAAGGUAAUCAAUGAAUUAGGAACAAACUUCAGUCCAGUCUCUUGGAGAAAGAGCCUGACUGAUUGUCAUCCCUCUUCCUACUAACAGUGGAUCUGUGGAAAUAAGAAAAAAUUCUAAGGGGGUGUUCAUUAAAAAAAAAUGAGAUUUUUUGGUGAUUGUUGUUUUAGAUGAUAAAUUCAAAAAUCUUCCUUUAGAGGCCUUCAGUGGCUCUAUUCUGCCUACUCCCCACUGACUGUGUUGGAUAUGCAAUAAGUUGCUGUAGAAGAACCGCC
rnacentral:lncRNA from 1 species